rnacentral:rRNA from 1 species
CCCUUAGAUGUUCUGGGCCGCACGCGCGUUACACUGAUGCAUUCAACGAGUCCUUCCUUGGCCGAGAGGCCUGGGCAAUCUUUUGAACGUGCAUCGUGAUAGGGAUAGAUUAUUGCAAUUAUUAAUCUUGAACGAGGAAUUCCUAGUAAACGCAGUUCAUCAAACUGCAUUGAUUACAUCCCUGCCCUUUGUACACACCGCCCGUCGCACCUACCGAUUGAAUGGUCCGGUGAAGCGUUCGGACCGUGGCCUUUGGACGGUUCGCCGUCUGUUGGCUGCGGGAAGUUCGUUAAACCUUAUCAUUUAGAGGAAGGAGAAGUCGUAACA